UAUUUUAUUUUUACAACUUUUCCAUUUUGAAAACCUCAAUUACGUAAUCCAUGACAGAUGUUUUAAUACAGCAGUAUUUUGUUUCAGAAUAGAUUGAUUCAGUUAGACUGAAGUACUUGUAAAACAUUAAGCUCAACUGAAAUAACACAAAGUUACUAUACUGGGUUUAAGUUGUGUUUUUUUAUUAUUAUUCUUAACUGUCAUGCCUAUUCCAUGCCAGAGGUUCCACAAAACAAAACAUUAUUAGAAGCUGCAUCAAGAUGGAUUACUCAAUCAAUAAAUAAACAAAUAAAACACAAAAAGCUAUGUAACCCCCACCCCAAAGAAACUCUUGUUAAACCUUAUACUGAUCACAAGAGACUGCAAGACAUUCAAGAUACUGCAUGUAACUUUGAUACGAAACUCACGACUAAAAUCAUUUUUAACCUUGCAAACUGUUCCAUAAAAAAAAAAAAGCUUUACUAAACAUACUUGUGGUCUCUUGCUCGUUCCUUCACGGUCAUCAAACAACAUAUUCACUUUCUCUGUAGAUAUAAUCAGGCUGUCAACACAAUCCAUUGAGACGUAUUCAGUCUGUUACGUACUGUACACCUAACCCAAGUAGCCCUUCCUCCAAGAAUUUUAGCAUGUCAUCAUUGGUUUACAAAACUAUGACAUGAGACACAAGCAGUCAUUAAACCAAUCACAUACUUGAUUGUGGAAUUCAACUAGAAGAAUCCUGCUUAAAUACUUUAUAACAAAACCACCGAUGCCUAAAAGCUUAAAUACUAUGUAAUGUAAAAUCAACUUCAGGAAACUCAUUAACUGCAUCACUUCAUGACAUUACCACAAUAAAUACAUAACAUAUCUACACUGUUACAUACAGUGUUUGUUCUAUAUAUAUUUUGUUUGACUAUUGAUGAUGACGAUAGCAAAAUAUUAUCAAAUAACACAAUUCUCAAAUUUCAGUGAAACAUAGUUUAAAAAGUUCACAUUUUCUUCAUCUGCGUGGAUGCGAUGUAACAUGCAUCUACACACAUUUUCUCUUGAAUAAGAAACCAUUUUGCAAUGUCCGCAAAACCAACACUUAUUUGCAUACAUUCUUACAGUCAAAGAGGUCCUGUUUAUCGGUAGGCUAUGUCACCCAUUGCUCCCUCUUCAUUUACAUUUUACAAUCAAAUGUAUCAAAAUGUUCAUUCUGAAUUUAAAUAAGGGCACUUGUAACAGACAGCAAGACCCUUCCACAUGCUAAUCUGUGACGUAAGUCACUAUCAGUCACCAUGAUUGUACUUGAGGUUUUGGCAGCCUUUGUAAACCAUACACAGACUUGGUAUACACAAAAGCUCUGCAAUGAAUUACGGUCUUAUUUGUAUCAAAAAGAGAGCAGACGUUUGGAAAUGAGCCGGCCUUUUGAACAAUGUGUUUCACUCCAUGAAAUAAACAAAGAACCACUGCAAUUGUCUCAAUGCGAGAACAUUCUCUCUGUGGCUUCCUGUAGGUUAAGUAUGGAGUCUCUAUGUUGGAGGCAGAGAGGUUAGGUUCUCAAUAUUUAGAACCGGUGCUGGAUUUUGUGAUUUUGUUUGGCUAUAAAGUUCCCGCCUCAUGUCACCAUAAAGGUUCCUCAGGGCUCUGUCCUACGACUGGCCUGAUAUAGACCGGUGGAACCUCUCAGCAACAGUUCCAACCUUCAUGCAUUUGAAACAUGAAGCCGUGCUCACUGUGUGACCGGCGUCAUGUGUGUGGGGGGUACAGGGCUGGUGGGGGUCUGGGGCGAGCUUUGGUACGACCGGAGGAGGACCUUGUGCCUAGUGGCCACUCUGGCCCGAAGGCUCUGCUGCUCGUCCAGAUACUCCUUGAGGCGCGUGGUGGUGAAGGUGAGGGUCUGCCGCCGCAGCCGCAUCAGGUAGGCAUCCUGGAGCCAAGAGUUGUUAUAGCAGUCCUUGAUUGAAGGACGGGCCCUGAAAAAGAGGUUACACCCAGAGUCAAGCAGACCCAGCACAAAAACAGUAACUCUCCCAUAACAGAUUGGUUACAUGAAUGUGAUAUAUAAUAUACAAA
ensembl:lncRNA